rnacentral:rRNA from 1 species
UACGAAGGUGGCAAGCGUUGUUCGGAUUCACUGGGCGUACAGGGUGUGUAGGCGGUUUGGUAAGCCUUCUGUUAAAGCUUCGGGCCCAACCCGGAAGGCGCAGAGGGUACUGCCAGGCUAGAGGGCGGGAGAGGAGCGCGGAAGUUCCCGGUGUAGCGGUGAAAUGCGUAGAGAUCGGGAGGAAGGCCGGUGGCGAAGGCGGCGCUCUGGAACGUACCUGACGCUGAGACACGAAAGCGUGGGGGAGCAAACAGGG